GUGUUUGCUGCCAUUGCUGAUUUUUAACAUGAAGAGCCGGGAUGGUGGGGUGGUGUAUUGGUUAGAGCAUUGGACUAGGACUUGGGAUCCCAAGGUUCAAAUCCCUGCUCAGCCAUGAAGCAUCCUGGGUGACCUUCGGCCAGCCAUUCUCCCUCCCAGCCUAAUUUACCUCACAAGGUUGUUGUGAAGAUUAAAUGAGGUGGAAGAGAACCAUGUACAUCAUCUUGAACUCUUUGGAGAAAAAAACGAUACAUAAAUGCAGUGAGUUAACAUAAAAUAGCCACAAUGGUUGCCAGUUCAUUUCCGAGCUGAAUUCAAGGUGCUCAUGUUUAUGUUUAAAGCCCUAGACCACUUAGGCCCAAAAUAUCUGAAAGACCAUCUCCUUCCCUACAGACGGGCUUAGGUUUUAAGAUUAACAGAGGGGGCCCUAUUUGUAGUUCUGCUUCCCUCAGAAACUCCGAGGGUUGGCCAAGGAGGGCAUUCUCUGUGGCAGCCUCUAAGUUGUGGAGCUUCUUCCUCACAGAGGUAUAUCUGUUACCCUCACUUUGCAGUUUUAUGUGUCUGCUGAAAACGCACCUCUUGUAACUUUUUAAAACAGCUUUUCAUGUAUUUUAUAUUGUUGUGACCUUAGGAUGAAGGGCUGAUAAUAGAUGAAAUUAGAUGAUGAUGAUAAUCCUUAUACCGCUGAAAACCUCAUUACCAAACCAAAUACCUCUCCUAACAUGAAUGUACCCAGACCAUACAAGUGUCAUUUGGGGCCCUUCGUGGUUUACCCCUCCUUUUCCAGAGCCCCCCUCCCAAGCUAACAUAUACAAAAUGCAAUAUCCAAAACAUUGCAAUUUAAAGAUUUAAUAAAAUCAAUUGAAGCACAGUAAAUCAUCUGAUGCCCUUAUUUGUGUGCCCCGCCCUCCAAGAGGCAGUCAGAGGAUGGGAACAAGGGGAAAAGCCUUCUUUAGAUUGGAAGUGGAAUGCUCUCCAUUGAAGUCCGCCUUAGGCCAAAACUGAUUUCUUUCCAGCACCAGGUUAAAGGCUCAUCACCCAGGCAUUAGAUUGGAUUUGAAAAGUUUUUGUUAAAGCUGUCUAAAGCAUGGACUCCCAUGCGUUAGGCAACCCACUAAUUAAUUAAUUGAAUAAAUAAUAAAUUGUCUAUUGCACUUCUGUCAUGAUCUGUGGCCAAUACAAAAAUAAAACUGAAAAUGUAUGUUGGCAGCAGGGGAAUGGGGUGUAAUGCUGUCUUAAUGCAAGGUGGAAGGGUGUAAAGGAAAUGGCUUAAUUGCGUGACUUUUUGCGUAUGAAGGAAGAAAUUAAGAAUUCACCAGAAGUGAAUGUGUUGGGUCAAUGAGAUUCAUUGGAAAUUUUUUUUUGUUAAGACCUUAAAAAGGAACACGAGUAGGCUGUUGGCUUUUCAGUAGUUAUUUUUAUAACCCCAUGAAGGGGAUUGUGAAAUUCACAUGGCCAGCAGAAUUUAAGGCAGUGUUUUUCAAACUGUUCUGGGGAAAUUGGAAGUUCCUUAGAAGCUCAUCUGGGAAUCCUCAGUGAGAAGGUCAGUCUGGUGAGCGAGUUUCCUUGACAGAUGGUUUGCCCUGUGUUACCAACAACACACAGCUGUGAGGAAGUGUUUGUCUGCAGUGUGUGGAAGAGGCCCAGCAGGCCAGUGCGAGCUGCAGGCCUCCUAAGACACUCUCCAGAAACCUUUGCAUCAUUACAGGAAGGCAUUCACAUGUGCAUGAAUGCAUGAGGAGGGAGUAGGAGCUUCCCCCCUGCACACUGAUGCACUUGCUGGCUGUGUGUUAGUGCACCUGCUUUGGGUGCAGAGGGUUCCAGGUUCAAUUCCCGGCAUCACCAAGUAGGACCGGGGAAUUGAAUUUUUGUGUAAUGGGACUGUGGGAGCUCAGUUCUGGUACUGAAAUCCAGUUCCUGGGCUAAGAGCAUGUACUCAGAAGUAUCUUGCCUCUUAACUCUUAAAGAGUAUAUUUGCACCUGACUCCCGUGUGUGGAUCUGGGGUUUGGGGGUGUUGAGUGAACAUUAAACAGAGCCUGGAAACCUGAGGUAUGCCCACACUUGCCUAACAUGGCAGAAAUAGGAGCAUCAAACUGGUAAAGCAUCUAGAAACCAGGUUUUGCCCAUGUGUUUUCAACCACUGUGCUGUGGCACCCUGGGGUGCCUUGAAUGAUGGUCAGGGGUGCUGCGGGCAACACUGGCCACUGUCCCUCUUUCUUUCUUUCUUUCCCUCCCUCCUCUGAUGCCCUCUUGCAUCUCUGCCUCCCAAAGGCUUGCACAGAUGUUUGUUGCAGCAGCCCUAGCUACAAGCUCCCCAGGUGAAUGCUGCCUCUGGGGCUGGUCAGGGGGUGCUUCUCAGGAGAGCCAGUGUGGUGUAGUGGUUAAGAGCAGUGGACUCAUAAUCUGGUGACCAGGAAUGGCAGCUAUGGCUAGCCCAUCAUCACCUGCUUUGCAUAUAGAGGACCCCUGGUUCAGUCCAGGUAGGGCUGGACGAAACCUCUCUCUGAAUUCCUGGAGACCCACUGCCAGUGUAGGCUGACUCUGUUCAAGGCAGCAAAUGAAUCUUUCAUUCAGAAUCAUCAAGUUCAGCGACAGCAGUGAACUCGAGGAGGUGUUUACAUCUUGCUUGGUUUUUACUUGCUUGGGACAGAGUUUACCAACCGCUCCGGGUUGUCGUAGAUUCCUAUUUUGGAUGUAUAACGACAGUGAAAAGGCUCUCAAGUGGAUUGUGGUUCCUUGCUCAGAGCAGUAUGAUAAAGGCAUGUGGCCAUUGUGCAGCAGCCAGGCAAUUCCCUUUCCAAGAUUAGUAAGUGGGGAGUGUCAAGUGUGAUUUCAUAAGCAUUUCCAGAUAAUGGUGGCAGGAGCAUGCUUGGUUUACAUGCAUUUCCAUUGAAUUUGCGUAGUUAACCCUACUUCACAAGAAAGCGAAAUGUCUUUUUUUAAAAAGUGAUUUAUAUAAUAAUUUUCCUUUGCCUGAUGUUUUGCACAAGUACAUUUCCGGUGUGAGCAGAGAUUUCUUUAACCCCCUUGUCCAGGGUAAAAUGUUUGAUGAACUUACAAUUUGUCUUUCCUGUUGCUUGGAGACGCUUGAGAACUGUAGAACAGGGGGACUUCCGGGGGGCGGCGCGAACGGUAAUGGCGGUCUUCUCCCGACCGGAGAAGAAGCUCCGCUGAAACCGGGUCGUCCGCUACGGCGAAGCGGAGACCCAACGAGAAAACCCCCAGGCAGCAAGAGCCUGGGGUCCUGAGGCUCGGCGGGCGCCAAGAGCAGCCCUCCAACUGCAGAAGGAGCCUCGUAAGAGGCUCCGGAGCGUGGAGGGGGGCUGCGGCGCUGUGAGCCGUUUCACAGUCAGCGGAGUGAAGCCGCGCUGCUGCUGCCGGUGAGCGCUGAUCCCUUUUCCUGUUAAAAUUCGGAUCUGGAAGAAAACAACUUACUCGUGAGUAAAGACUGAAUCACUUGGAAUUACAAAUUUUAAAUGAGAAGGUUUAAAUUGACUUGAAUUUGGCUGAAAGCGGAGAGACGUGGAAACAGGAAGUCCGUCUUCCGCUGCCAUUGAACUUGGAAAAAAAAGCAACUAAAGUGGAGGAGUGGAGGCUGAAAGAAAGAGAUUUUAAACUCUACACAGCCAAGCAUCUAUGGAACUUACAAUUUAAAGUAAAAUUAGCAAGUUAAAGAUUUGGACCUUUUAUUUGCACUUGACUUUCCCCUUUUAUUGGAUUACAAAUUGGAAGGUGUAACCCAGAGUCAGGAUUGCUUGAGCACUGUAACAGUGGGCUGUCAGUGUUUGACUUGGAUACUGUAUAUCAGAAGUUGCAACAAUCUGAGGGUAUUGAGACCUUUUAAAUUUGAAACAUUCUUUUGGGAGACAAAUAAGCACUGUCUGCAACAAAGUGAUUACUUUUAAACUCUGCUUAAUACUUAUAUUGGAAGGUUCUGGGACAUUAAAUCAGACUCUGAAAAGACACUUUAAGCUCCCUCUAGAGGAUUGGAUUAAAACAGUGACUUUAUAAAAACAUUUACUUUCGAUUCUCUUGUUGUCUGCAUGCUCUGGGCCUCUCUAUUCCUGUGGGAAAAACUCAGUGUGACCUUGACUGAUAGAUAACAUUGGAAUGAGUGGUACAAGAAGAAGAGGAAGAGUUAGACAAACAACUCUAACAAAUCUAACCUCAGCCUCGCAGACACGUAGAUCAUCUGUGCCUACUUUGCCCUCAGAAGUACAACUUGAAGAAGCUGCCUUGCUACAGGCAAAAGAGGGAGAGGGUGAAGUAGAGCAGUUACAAUUGGAAGAUAUGGCCUCAGGAGCAUCUGUUUCUGUGCUAGAAAAAAUCUUUGAAAAAUUGGAAGCUUUGGACAAGAAAGUAGAUGCGCAAUCAGCAAAGAUUGAUAAAAAUACAGAUUGUCUAAACAAAUUAACUACACAGGUGGGACAGAAUACACAAGCAAUUGGACAGUUGACGGAGGCCUCAGUAGAAAACCGAAAAUUGGCUGAGGAUACCAGACAAAAAUUGGAAAAUUUAGAGCAAGAGGUAAGACCACUCACUAAACAAGUUGGGGAACAUCAGACUUAUCUUUCUAUGAUAGAACUGCGAAAUCGUGAGAAUAAUUUGAGGAUUAGAUCAUUACAAGAGGCAGAAGAAGGAAAUCUAACUGAGUUUUUGACCAAAGAACUUUCCAAGUUCUGGAAUUUGGAAGAAAAGGACUUUAAAAUUGUGUCAGCUUUCAGACUUGGAAGAUUUAUAAAGAAGGAGAGGCCCAGGGAUUGUUUGAUUACAUUGAGAUCGAAGGAGGAAAGGGAUAAGAUUUUGGGCCUACAUUACGAAAAGUCACUGGAAGUUUUGGAUAGAAGAAUUGAGAUAUAUAAAGAUAUCCCAAGACAACUGUUGGACCUUAGAGCCGCCUAUUCUGAACUUGCUAAACUAUUAAGGAGCAACGCAAUUCCAUUCAGGUGGGAUUUUCCCCAAGGAUUAUCUUUUACCUUUAGAGCGAGAAAGGUUAAAAUUAGAACAUUGGAAGAGAGAGAUAAAUUUUUGGCUACACACGGAGAGGACCUACAUAAAGGAAUUGAACUACCUUCCGGGCCUGAGGCAAAGCCAGCAUCAAUACCUCCACCUCGGGAACUUGAAGAUCAAGAGAAGACACCACCCCAGGAGAAAUAACCAGAUAGAUCCAGGAUGUCUCUGCAACUGUUGAGCUGGAAUAUUAAUGGUUGCAAUAUUCCGGAGAAAAGGAAGAAAAUAUUUCAUAUAUUAAAAAAGAACAAUUGGACAUUAUUUGCUUACAAGAAACACAUGUGACGAGGCUCCACAGAAAAGUGUUAAUAAAUAAAAGAUUGGGCCAGGAAUUUAUUUCGUCGGAUAAAGUGAAGAAGAGAGGAGUGGUGAUAUAUGCAAAAGAGAGCCUGUCACCUAAAUUUCUAUUUAAAGAUGAGCAUGGAAGGAUUUUGGCUAUUGAGAUACAAUAUCAAGGAGAGAAACUGCUGAUAUUAGGAAUCUAUGCGCCUAAUGAAGGGAAAUCGGAAUUUUACAAGAAGUUGCAGGGGACAAUGCUGGAUCAUCUGGAUUACAACAACAUCAUAAUGAUGGGAGACAUGAACGGGGUCGUGUCAACUAACAUGGACAAGUCGCAAAGUCAAAACAUCACAAAAGAUGGCAGACUACCUAAAACCUUUUUGAAAUGACUGACAAUAUGGACUUGAUCGACAUUUGGAGAACAAAGAACCCACUAGGUAGAGAAGGAACAUUCUUUUCUGAAGCCCAACUGACCUGGACAAGAAUCGACCAAAUAUGGAUCUCUAGAGGCCUGGCACCUAGGGUUAGAAAAGUGGAAAUCUGCCCAAAGACCUGUUCUGACCACAACGCAGUAAAGAUGGACAUGACACUACUACCAACUGGAUCCUUUAGAUGGAAGAUGAAUGACAAUUUGUUUAGAGAUCAGGAAAUUACCAAGAAGGCCCAAAAAGUUUUGAAAGAUUAUUUUGAGAUAAAUAUGAACAAUUCGGUGGAAAAAGAAUCGUCUGGGACGCAAGCAAAGCUGUUAUGAGGGGAUUCCUGAUACAACAGAAUGUAGU